rnacentral:rRNA from 1 species
GUGGGGAAUCUUAGACAAUGGGCGCAAGCCUGAUCUAGCCAUGCCGCGUGAGCGAUGAAGGCCUUAGGGUUGUAAAGCUCUUUCGUGGGGGAAGAUAAUGACUGUACCCCAAGAAGAAGCCUCGGCUAACUCCGUGCCAGCAGCCGCGGUAAUACGGAGGGGGCUAGCGUUGUUCGGAAUUACUGGGCGUAAAGCGCACGUAGGCGGACCAGAAAGUCAGAGGUGAAAGCCCGGGGCUCAACCCCGGAACUGCCUUUGAAACUCCUGGUCUUGAGGUCGAGAGAGGUGGGUGGAAUUCCGAGUGUAGAGGUGAAAUUCGUAGAUAUUCGGAGGAACACCAGUGGCGAAGGCGGCCCACUGGCUCGAUACUGACGCUGAGGUGCGAAAGCGUGGGGAGCAAACAGGAUUAGAAACCCUUGUAGUCC